AAUCCAUGAUGGAGGCAUAAUCUUAGCAUUCCUUUGAACUCAUCCCAAGCUUUAAAUAAGGAUUCACCUUCAUUUUGCCUAAAGCUUCCAAUAAGAUUUCUCAUAUG